rnacentral:lncRNA from 1 species
CUGGACGCCGUGCCUGGACUGGACAUCGGCGCAGAGGAAGGCUCCUGCCAUGGAGCGGGACUGGACGCCGUGCCUGGACGCCGUGCCUGGACUGGGCACCGGCGCAGAGGAAGACUCCGGCCUUGGAGCUGGACUGGACGCCGUGCCUGGACUGGGCACCGGCGCAGAGGAAGACUCCGGCCUUGGAGCUGGACUGGACACCGUGCCUGGACUGGGCACCGGCGCAAAGGAGGGCUCCGGCCUGUGGACUGUCGUAGGAGGUUCCGGACUGUGGACCGUCGUAGGAGGUUCCGGACUGUGGACCGUCGCAGGA